rnacentral:rRNA from 1 species
UACGGAGGGUGCUAGCGUUGUUCGGAAUUACUGGGCGUAAAGGCGCGUAGGCGGCCGUUUGCGUCGGAUGUGAAAGCCCGGGGCUCAACCUCGGAACGGCAUUCGAUACGGGACGGCUGGAGACCGGGAGAGGAGAGUGGAAUAGCCAGUGUAGAGGUGAAAUUCGUAGAUAUUGGCUGGAACACCGGUGGCGAAAGCGGCUCUCUGGCCCGGUUCUGACGCUGAGGCGCGGAAAGCCAGGGUAGCGAACGGG